rnacentral:rRNA from 1 species
UACGGAGGGAGCUAGCGUUGUUCGGAAUUACUGGGCGUAAAGCGCACGUAGGCGGCUUUGCAAGUUAGAGGUGAAAGCCCGAGGCUCAACCUCGGAACUGCCUUCGAUACUGCGGGUCUCGAGUCCGGGAGAGGUGAGUGGAAUUCCUAGUGUAGAGGUGAAAUUCGUAGAUAUUAGGAAGAACACCAGUGGCGAAGGCGGCUCACUGGCCCGGUACUGACGCUGAGGCGCGAAAGCGUGGGGAGCAAACAGG